UUUUUCUCUCCCCCUCCUUUCUGCUGGAAAUGCCGCACAUCAGAUAAGGUGACAGUUCCUUUUUCCGACUUCCUCUCUUUAGCAUCAGGUAAGGAGGAAAACGGACGGCGGGCGGGCAAAAAAAAUGGACUCUGCUCUCUCUUCUUCUUCUUCCUUUCAUGCUCCGCCACGUCUUGGUCCCUCUGGCAUGAAUCUACUACAAACCCAUUACUCCAGCUCUUUCUUCUUCAACCCCGUCCCCAACAGAAAUCCCAUCUCCACAGCCAACAGGCCCUCUUUGCUUUCAACUCAACAGCCAUCAAGAAAGUUGCGUUGCCUACCACCUGCUGGCAAGUAUGUCAGAGAGGAUUAUCUUGUGAAAAAACUGUCUGCUAAAGAAGUCCAAGAUCUGGUGAAGGGGGAGAGAAAUGUACCACUAAUAAUCGAUUUCUACGCAACAUGGUGCGGUCCCUGUAUUUUGAUGGCUCAAGAACUUGAAAUGGGUUUAGCGAGGACGUGGACUGCGAUUUCCCAGCUUGACUUUUGAACUUCACUUUUGGUUUUGGCAUCCGAGAGACUUGAAGUCUACCUUUAACUUUUGUAAAUGUGGUUAUGAAUUGGACUAUGUAUCUUUUGUUUUGGGUUGCCACUUGAAGCUGGAAAAGUGCAAACCCUAAACUUUGGCUUGUAUGAACGAAUUUGUAUUUUCUGUUUUCACUUUGUGGUUUGUAACGUAUAUUUGUAGUUAUGUGUUGAUCUGGUUGGAGAGGUGUUUAAGAGUGAAUGUCCAGAUGUUCCAUGGCAAUGUUAUCUCUGAAGUUAAUGUGUUCUUAGUA